rnacentral:tRNA from 1 species
ACUAUUUUGACAGAAAAAUGUGAUGGUUUUAGAAGUCAUUUAUAUAUAAUUUAUUUAUAUAGGUAGUA